UUUUUCCCAGAUAUUUUAGGAGACC
rnacentral:piRNA from 1 species